rnacentral:rRNA from 1 species
CGGCGAGUGAAGCGGCAAAAGCUCAAAUUUGAAAUCUGGCACUUUCAGUGUCCGAGUUGUAAUUUGAAGAAGGUAUCUUUGGGUCUGGCUCUUGUCUAUGUUUCUUGGAACAGAACGUCACAGAGGGUGAGAAUCCCGUGCGAUGAGAUGACCCAGACCUAUGUAAAGUUCCUUCGAAGAGUCGAGUUGUUUGGGAAUGCAGCUCUAAGUGGGUGGUAAAUUCCAUCUAAAGCUAAAUAUUGGCGAGAGACCGAUAGCGAACAAGUACAGUGAUGGAAAGAUGAAAAGAACUUUGAAAAGAGAGUGAAAAAGUACGUGAAAUUGUUGAAAGGGAAGGGCUUGAGAUCAGACUUGGUAUUUUGUAUGUUACUCUUUCGGGGGUGGCCUCUACAGUUUACCGGGCCAGCAUCAGUUUGGGCGGUAGGAGAAUUGCAAAGAAAUGUGGCACUGCUUCGGUAGUGUGUUAUAGUCUUUGUCGAUACUGCCAGCCUAGACUGAGGACUGCGGCUUCGGCCUAGGAUGUUGGCAUAAUGAUCUUAAGUCGCCCGUCUUGAA